rnacentral:rRNA from 1 species
GUAGUCCACGCCCUAAACGAUGUCAACUGGUUGUCGGGGGAGUAAUCCCUUGGUAACGAAGCUAACGCGUGAAGUUGACCGCCUGGGGAGUACGGCCGCAAGGCUAAAACUCAAAGGAAUUGACGGGGACCCGCACAAGCGGUGGAUUAUGUGGAUUAAUUCGAUGCAACGCGAAAAACCUUACCUACCCUUGACAUGCUAGGAAGCUCGCAGAGAUGUGAGUGUGCCCGAAAGGGAACCUAGACACAGGUGCUGCAUGGCUGUCGUCAGCUCGUGUCGUGAGAUGUUGGGUUAAGUCCCGCAACGAGCGCAACCCUUGUCGUUAAUUGCCACCAUUUAGUUGGGCACUUUAACGAGACUGCCGGUGACAAACCGGA